rnacentral:rRNA from 1 species
UACAGAGGUCUCAAGCGUUGUUCGGAUUUACUGGGCGUAAAGGGCGCGUAGGCGGCAAUUCAAGUCAUCUGUGAAAUCUCCGGGCUUAACUCGGAACGGUCAGAUGAUACUGCUUUGCUAGAGUGCGGAAGGGGCAAUCGGAAUUCUUGGUGUAGCGGUGAAAUGCGUAGAUAUCAAGAGGAACACCUGAGGUGAAGACGGGUUGCUGGGCCGACACUGACGCUGAUAGCGCGAAAGCCAGGGGAGCAAACGGG